UGGUGAUUAACCCCUCGGCUGCACACCUAUUUUCAUCCCUCGUUUCCGAAGGCUUGUUCCUCCAGUGCAAAUCGCUCGAUUUGAACUCAUUACGGAUCAUUUCGAAAGCGCAAAAUAACAACGAUUCAAAGGGAAUAACUAGAAGAUUUUUUCCCUCGAAUCUCGACAAUGAUUAGUAAAAACAGACGAGCGUUUGAGGAACGAAAAUUGACAACUAAAUUUCAGAUAAACGUUGCUGUCACUCGGUCAAGUCUCGAGACACGAUCAACCAUGAAUCAGUGGAGCUUGAAGCUGAAAUAGUGCUCGUCAUGGCUCACAGCUGAUUCCUUUUCCGGAAGUAAUUUAACGCUCCAAGGAACGUUGCAAAGUUGGAAUAAAAAGGUUCAUGCUACAGUCGGACCAGGGCUGCCAAAACUUUAGCAAUGUAACAGACAGCAUUAAGGAAGAAGGUUGUUACCCAACGUGGAUCAGUACAAAAAUAUAGCAUUUUUCAUCGUUCGAGUAAAUUUUGUGAAGCUUGUAUUUCGAUAAGCAAAAAAACAUUUUGAACAUGAAAGUUUCAACAACGGCACUAGUUCUAUUGGCCCUCAAUAACAAUAUCCAUAUUUGAGCAUUUUUGUUCCAUGCCAAAACUAUUUGACACUGACGAAUGGAUAUAUCGAAUUAAAUUAUUUUUUUGAAAAGAAUUUUGAGUACUAAAUUGUGUUUUAUUUAAGAUGUCAAUUUUGGGAUAUUGUGUUGUGCGCAAUGAAGUAUAUCGAGUUCAUUUCCAUGCUAUGACCAAUAUAAUUGUACUAUAUUUAUAUGCAGAGAAAUAUUUUAUGUUAGACUGAACAUAAAAUAAAUUAAAAUUGGAUUAGUAUGCAAGAAUAGGAAAAUAAAUUAAUUCAAACACUAUGAGAGUGGAAAAAAUGUAGGAAUGAUUUAUUCAAAAUGUAUUAGUUAAUUAUUAGGAAGUGAUUGUGAAACGACUAUUUUUGAAAGUGGCCAAAAUAAAAUGGUCAACCCUUCA